rnacentral:rRNA from 1 species
CCUACGGGGGGCUGCAGUCGAGAAUCUUCGGCAAUGGGGGAAACCCUGACCGAGCGACGCCGCGUGUGAGAUGAAGGCCUUCGGGUUGUAAAUCACUGUCAGUGGGGAGGAAAUGCAGAUGGGUUCUCCCAUUUGUUUGACCUAUCCGCAGAGGAAGGACGGGCUAAGUUCGUGCCAGCAGCCGCGGUAAGACGAACCGUCCAAACGUUAUUCGGAAUCACUGGGCUUAAAGGGUGCGUAGGCGGUCCGGGAAGUUGGGUGUGAAAGCCCACAGCUCAACUGUGGAACAGCGUCCAAAACUGCCGGACUUGAGGGAGACAUAGGUGAGCGGAACCUAGGGUGGAGCGGUGAAAUGCGUUGAGAUCCUAGGGAACACCAGUAGCGAAAGCGGCUCACUGGGUCUCUUCUGACGCUGAUGCACGAAAGCUAGGGGAGCGAAGAGGAUUAGAUACCCGAGUAGUC